rnacentral:rRNA from 1 species
AACGAACGCUGGCGGCGUGGAUAAGACAUGCAAGUCGAACGGGAUUUUUUGUAGGCAAUACAGAAAUAAUUCAGUGGCGAACGGGUGCGUAACACGUGGGCAAUCUGCCGAAAAGUGGGGGAUAGCUCGCCGAAAGGCGAAUUAAUACCGCAUGUGGUGAGGGACGACAUCUUCCUGAAUCCAAAGCCGGGGCAACCUGGCGCUUUUUGAGGAGCCCGCGGCCUAUCAGCUAGUUGGCGGGGUAACGGCCCACCAAGGCUAUGACGGGUAGCUGGUCUGAGAGGACGACCAGUCACACUGGAACUGAGACACGGUCCAGACACCUACGGGUGGCAGCAGUCGAGUAAUUUUCU